GCCCCCUUAGCUCAGGGGAUAGAGCACCGCCCUCCGGAGGCGGGAGCGCAGGUUCGAAUCCUGCAGGGGGCG
rnacentral:tRNA from 9 species